rnacentral:misc_RNA from 1 species
CGCCGCGUAAUUCCAGCUCCAAUAGCGUAUAUUAAAGUUGUUGCAGUUAAAAAGCUCGUAGUUGAAUUUCGGGAUUGACGUGAUGGUCGUGCCUUAAGGGGUAUGAACUGUUGCUGUUGAUUUCUCACCUUCUGGAGAAACUUGAUGUCCUUAAUUGGGUGUCUUGCGGAUCCAGGACCUUUACCUUGAAAAAAUUAGAGUGUUUAAAGCAGGCAUUUUUGCUCGAAUACAUUAGCAUGGAAUAAUAGAAUAGGACGGCAUGGUUCUAUUUUGUUGGUUUCUAGGAUCACCGUAAUGAUUAAUAGGGAUAGUUGUGGGCAUUAGUAUUCAAUUGUCAGAGGUGAAAUUCUUGGAUUUAUUGAAGACUAACUACUGCGAAAGCAUUUGCCAAGGAUGUUUUCAUUAAUCAAGAACGAAAGUUAGGGGAUCGAAGACGAUCAGAUACCGUCGUAGUCUUAACCAUAAACUAUGCCGACUAGGAAUCAGACGAUGUUAAUUUUUUAAUGACUCGUUUGGCACCUUACG